CCUACGGGUGGCAGCAGUGGGGAAUAUUGCGCAAUGGGGGCAACCCUGACGCAGCAACGCCGCGUGAUUGAAGAAGGCCUUCGGGUUGUAAAGAUCUUUAAUUGGGGACGAAAAUGACGGUACCCUGCAAGAAAGCUCCGGCUAACUACGUGCCAGCAGCCGCGGUAAUACGUAGGGAGCAAGCGUUGUCCGGAAUUACUGGGUGUAAAGGGAGCGUAGGCGGGAGGAUAAGUUGAAUGUGAAAUCUAUGGGCUCAACCCAUAGCUGCGUUCAAAACUGUUCUUCUUGAGUGAAGUAGAGGCAGGCGGAAUUCCUAGUGUAGCGGUGAAAUGCGUAGAUAUUAGGAGGAACACCAGUGGCGAAGGCGGCCUGCUGGGCUUUUACUGACGCUGAGGCUCGAAAGCGUGGGUAGCAAACAGGAUUAGAUACCCCUGUAGUC
rnacentral:rRNA from 1 species